GACAUAGGUCGCAAACGUUAUCCGGAAUUAUUGGGCGUAAAGGAUGCGUAGAUGGUUCAGUAAGUUACUGGUGGGAAAUCGAGGCCCAACCUCGUGGAAGUUAGUAAUACUGUUGAACUUGAGUGCAGGAGAGGUUAACGGAACUUCAUGUGGAGCGGUAAAAUGCGUAGAUAUAAUGAAAGACAUCAAUAUAGCGAAGGCAGUUAACUAUUCUGCUACUGACAUUGAGGCAUGAAAGCGUGGGGAGCAAAACGG
rnacentral:rRNA from 1 species